CAGAGGCAGAAGGAGAUAGCAGAGAGCCCAUUCAUUGGGCGUACCCGACUAUUUUAGCGUUGCGAUUGUGAUCCAGCCAAGCCAAAUAUAGUCGUAGACAGGUAUUUUUAGCCGUAAAGUGUGUCCCCGUUUUCAUCUGGCAAAAGCGACCUGGGCAAUAUAGGAUGUUUGAAAUGAGCCAAAAUCAGCACACUCAGUGUUAACCUGUUAUUCAGUAGGGGAUAGAGUACAGUCAGCUGAUUUAACCGUCAUACCCAGAGAGAAACAACUGUCGAGAGUAAAUAUCACUGCUCACAGCUUCUCUGUCUAUCCGGGGACAAGGACAAAGAAAAGACUGAAUGAAAAGACCGUAGACCCGGAGAUAAAUAACCUUCGGUUCGUCAAGCAGAUACAUAGCUACAACAGGGUAAAGUUCAUUCUGACUGAGUUCCACGCAAAGCUGCCAAUUUGUGCCAGACAGCGAAAACAUCUUUGUAUGAAUGUGACAGCAUGCUUGUGUUGCUGAUGGAAUCUCCUGAUUGGUGUUGCCGUUGCAGCAGGGAAAAAGCCAGUCAUGGGGUCACAACACCGAGCGGACAGCUGUCUUAGAGAGUGACGUUACAUGCAUGUCGUACUCCAGCAGCUUUACUAUACACACCGGAAACACGGUAAGCUAGGGAAGCACGCACGCACGCACGCAUGCACGUACGCACGCACGCACGCACACACACACACACACACACACACACACACACACACACACACACACUAAUCCAAUUAGGACAUUAGUAAGUUGCAGCUUGGCCAGAGCCUCCUCGGACAAAUGCUGAUCGAAUUAUAAGUGGAUGGAUAGGCCGGGGCAAUCCCAGUGUUUCCCAGCUCUAAGGUGCUUAAGUGGCAUUAUGCCACUGCAUCAGGAGGACACCUCAUACGCACAAAGGAUCCCCUUGCUAUUUUCAUGGACAUACACGCUGCCUGCCCGGUGAGUCAACAAAGACGAGGAAGAAGCCAAGAAGCGACUUCCACUCUGUCAGCAGAGUUGCAGAGAGUGAACCGGAAACCCGGAACUUAGCCAGGAGACUUUCCCCUACUGGCUCUGUCUACACAGGAAUAGUCAUGGACAUAUACACUCAUGGAAAUUAUUAACAGGAACAAAGAACAAUCAACGGAUGGAAGACCUUGGGAUGCUGCUUUCACCCACCAAACACGCACUCAUUUUCCAUGUGCUAGAAAACUAUUGAUACCAUUCGUAGUGAGUGCAUGUGUGUGUGGAUAUGUGUAUUGUCUAAGAGCCUCUUCAUCAAAUAACACACCAGAAUGAGGCACACUCCAAACAAGGCUACAAGUCCAUACAGAGGCUCUUUACUAACACUCACUGUGUAGUGAGGCUCUGCAGAGCUGUUAUAUUCUCUUUUAUUAUCUUCUACACACACACACACACACACAAUGCAUAUCGUAUAAACGGCUGUCUGAGGAAGUGUGAUUGAGUUCAAUGGCCUAUCCUCUUUUAAUGUGACGAACUGUGCUGUCGAUGUUUAAGUCCCACACUCACAUGAAUAUGCCACACAAACAGACAAACAAACAAAUGCAUGCUGCAGGCAGGAAAAAUAUGUUACUGUCCAAUUUUGGUGAAGAAAAGCUCAUAAAAAGGAGAGUUAGUUGUGUCUGCCAUGUGACAUGUCAGGUCCUCCCUUAUGCUAAUGUAACAUUCAUCUGUGUCAUAGAACGAUAAUGACUCUCAACGCAGAGAGCCUCGCUGAAGCACUCAGAGUAAAGCCCAGCUGUCCACUCAGUCAGCUUCUCUGUCUGUACGCUCCACUGUUUCUGUCUCUCUGUCUCUAUCUCUGUUUCUAUUUAU